GACGAACGCUGGCGGCGUGCUUAACACAUGCAAGUCGAACGGAAAGGCCCUGCUUUUGUGGGGUGCUCGAUUGGCGAACGGGUGAGUAACACGUGAGUAACCUGCCCUUGACUGUGGGAUAACUUCAGGAAACUGGGGCUAAUACCGGAUAGGAGCUCCUGCUGCAUGGGGGGGGUUGGAAAGUUUCGGCGGUUGGGGAUGGACUCGCGGCUUAUCAGCUUGUUGGUGGGGUAGUGGCUUACCAAGGCUUUGACGGGUAGCCCGCCUGGGAGGGUGACCGGCCUCAUUGGGACUGAGAUACGGCCCAGACUCCUACGGGAGGCAGCAGGGGGGAAUAUUGCACAAUGGGCGGAAGCCUGAUGCAGCAACGCCGCGUGCGGGAUGACGGCCUUCGGGUUGUAAACCGCUUUCGCCUGUGACGAAGCGUGAGUGACGGUAAUGGGUAAGGAAGCACCGGCUAACUACGUG
rnacentral:rRNA from 1 species